GCAAACAUUACUUUAUCCUGAACUCUUAGGCAAAGUCAUGCAGCAGUGAGAUGAAUGGGAGUUUCAUGUUGAACAGUGCAUAUUGUUUUCCGUUCUGUCGGGGCGUCUCUGUGUCUGAUGCAGCAUUGCUUUUCAGGGAGAUGAAGUCCCUGAAAAUGAGACCCAGGUCCCGAGGUGAAGCUCCUUCUCUGGGGUGCUCCGCAGGGAUUCCUAGACGGCUGUCCCCCGCUGCUGAGCCACGCUGAGCUGGCUGCUCUCACUGGAAUCCUGGAACUGGCUCUUCUCUCACAUGGGCACUCCAAGGGCCACCAGCAUCUCCUCCUACACAGGAGCGUCUAAGCAGGCCUGCAAGGCAGCCUGCAGCUUGGCCUCUACCCGUGUGAUGCAGCAAACACACUUGCAAGGCAUGUUCUACUCUUCAAAUGACGGUAUAUAGAACCCGCGGGUACUUAUAAGGUGAAGAUUGACCCUGUGUGAAUGACAAGGAAGUGAUUCCUGAAGUUCCAGAGGGAGGAAGGGAUUUGCUCAAAGUCACCCAGCAGGUGAGUGACAAAGCUGGCCCUUGGACGAGCCUCCUCCUCCCAUGUCUUUCAGCCUCACAGAGGGACAGAGUUUGACUGCGGGACUCAGCCUGAGGCAGGGGACAGAAUCCCUGAGUGUGCUCCUGGCCAGUGGCUUCAUCUCUCAUCUCUCUGUGACUCUGUUUUCUUUAGCUGUCUAUGGAAAGAAUAAGCAUGAGAAGCAUUCAAUUUGAUUCAAACUGAAGCACUGCACCUGCUUUGUGUGAGACACUUUAGCCACCUCAGGGGUACACACACAAAAGCCCACUGUCCCUGCCCUCAAGGAGCCUAUCAUAUAAUGACAGUCACUAAAAUUUGAAGAUCUCUUUACAGUUCACCUUUACUUCUGAUAUGGUUUGGCUCUGUGUGCCCACUCAAAUCUCAUCUUGAAUUGUAAUCCCCACGUGUUGAGGGAGGGACCUGAUGGGAGGUGAUUGGAUUAUGGGGGCGGUUUCCCACAUGUUCUUGUGACAGUGAAGGAGUUCUCACAAGAUCUGAUGGUUUAAAGUGUUUUGCAAUUCCCCCCUCACACUCUCUUUCCUGCCUCCUUGUGAAGAAGGUGCUUGCUUUCCCUUCGCCUUCCGCCAUGAUUGUAAGUUUCCUGAGGGCCUCCCCAACCAGGCAGAGCUGUGACUCAAUUAAAACUGUCUUCUUUGUAAAUUACCCAGUCUCAGGUGUGUCUUUAUAGCAGCAUGAGAACAGACUAAUACACCUUCUCUCACUUUUUCUUCAAAAUGAUAGGCAGUGUUAUUGACGCUGUUUCACAAACGAGGACCUCCGAUGGAAGGAGCUAGGCUACCUGGGAGAAAUGAUAUUCUGCUGGCAUCCCACUACACUUUCUACCUGAGGCAUCGUCCCUAAAACACUAGGACAUCAGGAAAACCUAAUGAUGACUACUGUUUCAUUUAGGGCCCUCUCAGCUGCAAGUACAAAGACAUAGAAACCAAGUAUUGGGUUUUUAGCUGAGAAGCCCAGCAUCAGGCUGGACCACCAUCUGCGCAUCCUGUCUGGGGUUCAUACACAACAAAGACCUGAUUUCUCUCCUGUUCUCCGCUCAGCUUUCAUGGUCUCCUGGAGCUGAGAUCUUCUCAGCCCACAGGUGAUGACAGAAUGGAGAUAGUGGUUCCGGCUUCAAUGCUUCCAGGUUCAAGUCCACGGGGAAGAACCCUGCCUCCCUCUCAGAAGGCUCAGCUCCAGUCCCCUGGGUUCCAGUAGAAGCCCAAGCCCCUCCAGGAACCCCUUACUGUUACUGUGAAGGCGGAAUAUGGCUUUGGUUAAUUGAGGCCAACUCACAGUGCUAGAUCAAUCCCCCUAAACCACAAGGGCGGAGGGUGGGACCAGAUAGGUUAUUAAGGGAAAUUUGGGUACUCUUUUACCCAGAGGGUGAACAGAUGCUAAAUGGCCCAACUAUGCACAUGUGUAGCCAUCCACUGCAACAAUGCGUAGUAGUUGGUUAAUAAAUUUAUUUUCAUUUACCAAUUGAUUUAUCAGCAAAAUGAAUAAAAACUAAGUAGGCUACCUGUAAGAAAAGGUAAUAAAAUAUGUAAAAAUGAAUUAAACACUGUAAUCUGCCUCAAGUGGAUUCAGUGGCUUUGUCUGUGAUUCCCUGAACCUGCUCUCAUUGGAUAAUUUCACCUUAUUAGUAUAUACACCACAACCUCAGAAGGCAACUAUAAGAGCCAGAUGCCUGGACAGCCAUAUGGAAAAAAAU
rnacentral:lncRNA from 1 species